UUCAAAAAGGCAGCUGUCAAAUAGCUUGUAGUUGGCUUUACAGAAGAUGAAAUGCAAGGUGACCUGUCUUACUGUAAAUGUCUCUUGAUUCAAACUGUCUUGAAAAGUAGAAGCGUCUCUGAUGACUGAGUGCCACCUGUUACUGGAAAGGGGCCAAAUGACCUCUGACCGGACUGCUGCUGGGGAGGUUGGGACACAUCUGUGAUUUCCAUCAGCAUCCACCUUUUUUGACCCAUCAAGAGGCGGGGGCAAAACUUGGUUAAGGAGGGGAAGUAGCUUUCAAAAAACAGAUGAAAGAAGCACCGGAAUCAAACAACUUAGUGGAAUGACCGAUUCUCUUUUGCACGAUUCUCAGAACUGACCUGUCCUUGGCCUUCCAAAAUGUUGCUUCCAGAAUAUUAACCCAUCAGGGUCCUGGAGAGAAGCCACAGCAAAUGAUGGGGAAACUGAGCAUAAAGAGAAUGAGUAAAAUGGAAAAGUGGCAAAACUUGGAAGUGGCAGAGUUGGGAUUUGAGCUGAGAAAGUCCCAAGCUUUAGCUCUCAGUCACAUUUCUACAAGAGCUGGCCCACAAGCCCAGAAGUGUGGCAUUGCCUUCCUGCCACCCAGCAACCCAGAGCCUCUCUGCUUAUUCUGCUUUCCUGUCCUUUCCAAGAUUAACAUUUGACCUGCCUUCUUUCCAUGACCCCCAUGACCAACCCUCUGGAUGGUGUGUCCUGAAUAAUAGAAUCAGGUAAAAGGUCUUUGCCCAUGUUCCUGAGGAGAAUGGCUACCACUCUGUGGACUUCUGGAAAUACACCAUCUAUGCAGCCACA